rnacentral:rRNA from 1 species
GCGAACGCUGGCGGCAGGCUUAACACAUGCAAGUCGAGCGCCGUAGCAAUACGGAGCGGCAGACGGGUGAGUAACACGUGGGAACGUACCUCUUGGUUCGGAACAACACAGGGAAACUUGUGCUAAUACCGGAUAAGCCCUUACGGGGAAAGAUUUAUCGCCAAGAGAUCGGCCCGCGUCUGAUUAGCUAGUUGGUGAGGUAACGGCUCACCAAGGCGACGAUCAGUAGCUGGUCUGAGAGGAUGAUCAGCCACACUGGGACUGAGACACGGCCCAGACUCCUACGGGAGGCAGCAGUGGGGAAUAUUGGACAAUGGGCGCAAGCCUGAUCCAGCCAUGCCGCGUGAGUGAUGAAGGCCCUAGGAUUGUAAAGCUCUUUUGUGCGGGAAGAUAAUGACUGUACCGCAAGAAUAAGCCCCGGCUAACUUCGUGCCAGCAGCCGCGGUAAUU